rnacentral:rRNA from 1 species
UGGGGAAUAUUGGACAAUGGGCGCAAGCCUGAUCCAGCCAUGCCGCGUGAGUGAUGAAGGUCCUAGGGUUGUAAAGCUCUUUCACCGGUGAAGAUAAUGACGGUAACCGGAGAAGAAGCCCCGGCUAACUUCGUGCCAGCAGCCGCGGUAAUACGAAGGGGGCUAGCGUUGUUCGGAUUUACUGGGCGUAAAGCGCACGUAGGCGGACUAUUAAGUCAGGGGUGAAAUCCCGGGGCUCAACCCCGGAACUGCCUUUGAUACUGGUAGUCUUGGGUUCGAGAGAGGUGAGUGGAAUUCGGAGUGUAGAGGUGAAAUUCGUAGAUGUUCGGAGGAACACCAGUGGCGAAGGCGGCUCACUGGCUCGAUACUGACGCUGAGGUGCGAAAGCGUGGGGAGCAAACAGG